rnacentral:rRNA from 1 species
UACAGAGGGUGCGAGCGUUGUUCGGAUUUACUGGGCGUAAAGCGCGUGUAGGCGGCUUGGCAAGUCGGAUGUGAAAGCCCACGGCUCAACCGUGGAAGCGCAUCCGAAACUGCUUCGCUCGAGUCUCGGAGAGGAAGGUGGAAUGCUUGGUGUAGAGGUGAAAUUCGUAGAUAUCAAGCAGAACACCUGCGGCGAAGGCGGCCUUCUGGACGAUGACUGACGCUGAGACGCGAAAGCGUGGGGAGCAAACAGG